UGGGGAAUAUUGCGCAAUGGGGGAAACCCUGACGCAGCGACGCCGCGUGCGGGAUGAAGGCCUUCGGGUUGUAAACCGCUUUUGAUUGGGAGCAAGCCUUUUGGGUGAGUUUACCUUUCGAAUAAGCGCCGGCUAACUACGUGCCAGCAGCCGCGGUAAUACGUAGGGCGCAAGCGUUAUCCGGAAUUAUUGGGCGUAAAGAGCUUGUAGGCGGUUCGUCGCGUCUGGUGUGAAAGCCCAUCGCUUAACGGUGGGUUUGCGCCGGGUACGGGCGGGCUAGAGUGCAGUAGGGGAGACUGGAAUUCCCGGUGUAACGGUGGAAUGUGUAGAUAUCGGGAAGAACACCAAUGGCGAAGGCAGGUCUCUGGGCUGUUACUGACGCUGAGAAGCGAAAGCGUGGGGAGCGAACAGG
rnacentral:rRNA from 1 species